rnacentral:lncRNA from 1 species
GCCGAGUCCCCGGCUGGAGGGUCCCCGGGGAGGGCCAGGGAGAGCGCGCGGCGGACGCGCCCGGGACGCGCGGCGGCACCGGGAGGCCGGGCCGAGCGGUUUUGAGAGAUUACCUGAAGUUGCACUCAAAAGCAAGAUAUACUACUAACUUUGAAAUGGAAUAAGGCCCUCCCUAUCCUGAAGACAUUAGCUGAGAGUCUGGCACCUUUUAAAGGUCUGAUCAUCAAUUGUCUCUCUGGGCGGCCACCUAUGAGACUUCAUCUGUGUGGUUAUACCUUAUUGGUGUGGACGUUGUCUAAAUUUCGGUAGCCAUGGCACAAGAAUAUAAGAAAGCAUGGGAUUAUGGCAACCACAGAAUCUCAGUAGUACAAGUUCCAUU